CCCAUUGUAGAAGCUCGUCUGGGAUCUAGAGUAGAUAUUCGAAGUAGACCGCCUGCAGUAGGAGUUCGGAGUAGACUGCUUGCUGUAGAAGUUCGGAGUAGACUGCUUGCUGUAGAAAUUCGGCUCUCGCAGGAGCUCGGGUGGAAUCUGAAAGGCGGUCGACCGUCGUAAAAACUUGAAUGGAGUCUGGUUACUGUAAAAAUCUCAUU
rnacentral:lncRNA from 1 species